rnacentral:rRNA from 1 species
UGGGGAAUAUUGGACAAUGGGCGCAAGCCUGAUCCAGCCAUGCCGCGUGAGUGAUGAAGGCCUUAGGGUUGUAAAGCUCUUUCGCCGGUGAAGAUAAUGACGGUAACCGGAGAAGAAGCCCCGGCUAACUUCGUGCCAGCAGCCGCGGUAAUACGAAGGGGGCUAGCAUUGCUCGGAAUCACUGGGCGUAAAGCGCACGUAGGCGGGUCGUUAAGUCAGGGGUGAAAUCCUGGGGCUCAACCUCAGAACUGCCCUUGAUACUGGCGAUCUCGAGUUCGAGAGAGGUUGGUGGAACUCCGAGUGUAGAGGUGAAAUUCGUAGAUAUUCGGAAGAACACCAGUGGCGAAGGCGGCCAACUGGCUCGAUACUGACGCUGAGGUGCGAAAGCGUGGGGAGCGAACAGGAUUAGAUACCCUGGUAGUCCACGCCGUAAACGAUGGAUGCUAGCCGUUGGGGAGCUUGCUCUUCAGUGGCGCAGCUAACGCCUUAAGCAUCCCGCCUGGGGAGUACGGUCGCAAGAUUAAACUCAAAUGAAUUGACGGGGUCAUAGCUGUUU